GGCGCUAUAGUGUAGUGGUUAUCACUCAGGAUUCUGAAGAUCACUUUCCUGAAACCCAGGUUCGAACCCUGGUAGCGCCU